rnacentral:rRNA from 1 species
UACAGAGGUGGCAAGCGUUGUUCGGAAUUACUGGGCGUAAAGGGCGCGUAGGCGGCGCGGUAAGUCGGGUGUGAAAUCUCGGAGCUUAACUGGGGAACUGCGUCCGAUACUGGAUGGCUUGGAUUUGGGAGAGGGAUGCGGAAUUCCAGGUGUAGCGGUGAAAUGCGUAGAUAUCUGGAGGAACACCGGUGGCGAAGGCGGCAUCCUGGACCAAUAUUGACGCUGAGGAGCGAAAGCUAGGGGAGCAAACGGG